AAUACAAAAUAUGGCGAAAGAAAACGGUUUUGUCAUUUCGUCAAUCUAAAUGUGACUUUAUUUAAAAAUAUGAAUUGGGUUUAAGUGAAAAAGUAAACAAGUGGUUGAGUUUAUAAUUUAUUUAUUUAUCUUUUGUUGUUUGUUUAUGUUGUAUGAGGUUUGGGGUCGGAGAUUUUUUUUUUAUAGAUAAGUUAUAUUGCUUGACUCUCUUUGCUAUCGUCGUUGGGUUGUCCGGACUUUCUGGUUAUGUUUUAAACAGGAAAAAAUAAUCGUAAUGAUAAAGGAUAUAGUUGUGAUCAACACUUCAUUCUUAUCCUCUAAUACCUAAUUACCUUUAUAUUCCCCCUCUUCUCAAUAUCCCCUUUCCCUUUCGUAUAGACGUGUAAAAGAGUUACAUUGUAGCCUAUUUGCAAAAAUAAAUAUAAUUUAUCAUUUAUCCCCAAAUUCCGAAUCCCUUAAAGGCCGCUAAAUCACUCUUAACUCAUCUGGUGUUGUUGUCUUUUGCUCGUGUGUCUAUGCUAUAAAAAAAGACGUUUAAAAUGUAUUUGAUUAUGUAAUCCUCGAUUAAUUAUUAUAUUAUUUAAUCAGGCAGUCAGUUGAGACAACUGAUAUAUUAUGCCAAUAUCGUAUUUGUGUAUUAUUAUUUACUUUUAGGUUUUGUUUCUCUGUCUGUCUGUUACAUAUUGUGACACGGAGCAAAUAUCGAACAGGACUAUACGGAGGCACUAUAGAAAAGGAUUUUUUUAUAUAUUUAUAUAGUCCUGUAGUGGGAAAGUGUGCAAGCCAAUAUCGUUUCGUUGGUUCGUUUGUCCGUUCGUCAAUAGUUAGUUAUUUGCAUUAAAUUGUCUAAGUUGAUUUGUCAUAUAAUAGGUACCAUAGUGUUCAUGGCAAUGUAUAUCAUUGAUUGACAUCUUUUUUUUUAACGUUGAUAAGUCUGCUUUUGGCCACCAACCCUCUUACUGCCAGGACGGCAAAGCGAAGAUGGAGCAUACAGACUUAGAGAACUUCUGAUAUCAUUCGACAGAUCGAAGGCUGAAUUUGGCUGUAAAACGAUAGAAUGGAAGAGGGCGGUCUUAGAUGCCGCCGCAUAGCUCCGUGGUAGAAAGUAUAAAGAAAAGUAUAAAGAUUCGUUUAAAAGUACGUAUUUACUCUGACCUUGAAAAGACCCGGGUUGUAUUUCUCAGGAAAAAUGUCUCAAUGUCUUUCUUGGUCGCUCGUCAAAGUUAAAAUGAAAGAAAAAGAACUUUAUUGUUUAUAUAUUUAUAAUUUAUAUUAUCUCUUCAUUUUAUAAUUAUAUAACAUGUAUAUUAUCAAAUCUGGCCAUCCUUUCCUGGAACUCUGCCCUCAUCUCAGCCAGCGUUCCAUUGACCGCCUCCACUGCCUCUAUAUUGUUGACUAGCUACUUUCCCGCGGUUUCACCCGCUCUGCUUGGCUCCUAUUGGUCAUAGCGAGAUGUUUUCUAGCCUAUAGCCUUCCUCGAUAAAUGCACAAUUCAACACAAAAAGAAUUAUUCAAAUCGGACCGGAAGUUCCGGAGAUUAGCGCGUUCAAACAAACAAACAAACAAACAAUCAAACAAACAAACUCUUCAGCUUUAUAAUAUAAGUAUAGAAGUAUAGAUGAUGUGAUAGUAGUUUGAUGUUUAAGAGAGCUGACACACUAAACCAGCAGGUAGUCCCUUUCAAUAAGUACUUAUGGUGUAAAAUACUAUUUAAAAUUUAAAAAUAAAUAAUUAUUUUUGGGAGAGACGUUUUCCCUAUGUAUUUCACUUAGAACACCUCAAAAGUGAAUGUUUCUUUUAUUUAUAUAAAGUAAUAGGGUUCGGACUUCUAACCCGUUAAGGCUGAAUACUACAUCUAAUUUUAUGGACAAAAGUCGGGGGUCGAAUUGGUCGUACCCCUCCCCUUAAAGUUAUUGCUAUUUUAAUAUUUUUCCUACUUUAUGUGAUAUCAAAGGCUGUAUGCGUCGUAGAAACAAAAAAAAACUACAAACGGUAGCUAAUAACCUUGGCUAACUAAUUCAUUACUUUUUUCAUAUGUUUGAUAAUGUUUUGGUGAGAAAAAAAUAAAUUCUGAAUAAUUUUUACCGAAAAUAUCGCUAUGUUUCAAUAUUUUUUAUUGGGGGUUCAACCCCCAUAUUAUCUUUUUUGUCCAUAAAAUUAGAUGUAGUAUUCAGCCUUAACGGGUUAGAAGUCUCGCCCCUAUCACAUUGUAUAAAGUAUACCAAAAUGAUUUUUGUAUGUUUUUCUAAAUAUAUUCAAAUUUUCGAAGAAAAGUCGUGUUGGUUAAAUGAAAAGUUUUAGCUAUAAUUAUUCGAAUAUAUGUAUCUAUAUUUUUAUAUAUUUGUGUUGUAAAAAAUGCUUAUCCAGCUAAACUGCCCAAUGACAUGUCAGAUCCAAUUCGACGUCUUUCAAAGGAAUUGCUUGAGCUACACCUCGGAACUUCUUCAUUACAAGUUCAUUUUGUAUGGUGCUUCCACUAGGUCGUCCACGUUUAGCGUCAUUUUCUGGUAGACCCAAUUUAUAGAGGGUUUCAGCAAGUUCUAGUCUGAAUGUACCCAAAUUGAAAAGGAUAUAAUUUCCUUUUAUAUCAUUUACCUUCUUGAACAUAACCCAUAAAUUUAUAACUGCAAAAUCCAGCAAAUGAUAAAAUAAGCGCAUGGUCUACUUGCGGCUCCUCAUUGAGAUGUGUGUGAGAAUCAUAUUCGAAGUUAACGAGAGAAACAGUAAGAAGGAAAUUAUUAUGAAAUGUGAAACAAAUUUAGUAAAAAAAAUUGCUAGAAAAGUGCCAGAAAAAAAAAACGUAUGUUUCCACUUACCUCGCUGCAUUUGAACCACUUACCUCGGUGCUCGGUGAAUUGAUUCCGUUUCUCUAUCUGAUUCACUGUCUUCAUUGUUUUCUUCUAGUUGGCAACUCGUUGUUAUCCCUAAUAUAACUAAAGUAUCUAAUUCUAUACGACUCAUUGAGAAACAGCACUUCCUCUAAUAAUCGGACCACGAAUUCGUCGUUAUUUGAGAAAUCUCGCUCCAUCUUGCGAAUUCUAAUGUAAACUAAUUUACCAAUAAGUAAAUAAAUAUUAUGUAUAACUCUACACUAUCACUAAUAUUUAAUUAUCACUGCCACUACUAUAUCCACUGUCUGUGUCCGUUUCACUAUCAGAUUCACUGCCUCAUUGUUCCCUUCUAGUUGGAACUCGUUAUAUAUUACGUUAACGUAUCUAAUUCUAAACGAUCCGAUGAGAAACAGCACUUCUCCUAAUAAAAAGGACCAAGAAUUCGUCGUUAUUUGAAAAAUCUUAGUCCAUCUUUCGAAUGCUGUCAUCUUAUUUAUCAGCAGGCAAAUCAUCCAGAAAAUCUGUCAAGUCUCCUCUCAAGAAGUUUUCGUACAUUUUCCCAUUUAGAUUGUCCGGGAGAAGCAAGGUCAAAUGAUUGGAGAUAAUGCCCUUCCAUACAUUCUACUUGCGGCUCCUCAUUGUGAUGUGAUAACGACCUAUUAAUGAAUCUAAUAAGUCCACUUGUCCCCACCCAUUUCACAUUUCAGCUUCUUAUUACUAUUUAAAAUGUCUAAGAAUUCCCUCACACUGUCAUCUCUUUCUUUUAGUAGUUGAUCACACAACUCCUUUGAUGCCUUCAGUUCGCUUAAAGCCAGGUUGAGUUUUGACUCCUCUUGGAGAGCAUGGGCUUUGCGAGUGAGAAUCAUAUUAGAAGUUAAAGAAAGAGACAGUAAGAAGGAAAUUAUAAUAAUAAUAUGAAAUGUGAAGCUAAUUUAGUAAAGAAAAAUUGCUAGAAAAGUGCUAGAAAAAAAAAUUGUUUCCACUUACCUCGGUGCUCGGUGAAUUGAUUACGUUUCUCUAUCUGAUUCACUGUCUUCAUUGUUUUCUUCUAGUUGGCAACUCGUUGUUAUCCCUAAUAUAACUAAAGUAUCUAAAUCUAUACGACCCGCUGAGAAACAGCACUUCCUCUAAUAAUCGGACCACGAAUUCGUCGUUAUUUGAGAAAUCUCGCUCCAUCUUUCGUAUUCUGUCAUCUUAUUUAUCAGCAGGCAGAUAACUCUACACUAUCACUGAUAUUUAAUUAUCACUGCCACUUCUAUAGCCGCUGUCCGUAUCCGUCUCACUCUCAGAUUCACUGCCUCAUUGUUCAUUUCUAGUUGGAACUCGUUAUAUAUUAUAUUACUGUCUUCAUUGUUUUCUUCUUGUUGAUAUUUCGUUGUUAUCCCUAAUAUUACUAAAGUAUCUAAUUCUAUACGACCCGAUGAAAAACAGCACUUCCCCUAAAAAUCGGGCUACGAAUUUGUCGUUAUUUGAGAAAUCUCGGUCCAUCUUGCGAAUUCUGAUGUAAACUAAUUUACCAAUAAGUAAAUAAAUAUUAUGUAUAACUCUACACUAUCACUAAUAUUUAAUUAUCACUGCCACUACUAUAUCCACUGUCUGUGUCCGUUUCACUAUCUGAUUCACUGCCUCAUUGUUCCAUUCUAGUUGGAACUCGUUAUAUAUUAUAUUAUGCCUACUAUAAUUAUAUUAUAACUAUAACGUAUAUAAUUCUAAACGACCCGAUGAGAAACAGCACUUCUCCUAAUAAAACGGCCCACGAAUUCGUCGUUAUUUGAGAAAUCUCGAUCCAUCUUUCGAAUUCUAAUGUCAUCUUAUUUAUCAGCAGGCAGAUCAUCCAGAAAAUCUGUCGAAGAAAGUCGCCACGUUUUCCUCAUAAAAUCCUAUGGGCACGUUCUUUUUCAUUAUUGUGUUGAAAGCUUUUUUAAUAUAUUUCUUUAAUUACUUAUCACUUUCACAAAUUAAAUCUAUAGUCACUGAAUUCAAGUCUAUACAUAUGUUAUGUUUGAGAAGCACGGGCUGAUACCAACUCGCUGAAGAGACUGUUAUUCAGACUUGGUGUGAUGUUAAGGUUUAUCGUUUCUAGUUGGCUAAUUUGACUAUUGGCCUCAUGCAGCUGUUGUUCUAAAUGAGCUUUGUCAUGUAAUGUCUGUUCAUACUCAUUGCUACAUUGACUGAACCCGUCCACAACGAACUGGAGCCUAUCCCGGGCCUCAAUGCCUUCAGUGUGUUGAAUAUAUAACUGAGCCAUUUCACAUUUCAGCUUCUUAUUACUAUUUAAAAUGUCUAAGAAUUCCCUCACAUUGUCAUCUCUUUCUUUCACUAGUUGAUCACACAACUCCUUUGAUGCCUUCAGUUCGCUCAAAGCCAGGUCGAGUUUUGACUCCUCUUGGCGAGCAUGGGCUUUGCGAGUGAGAAUCAUAUUAGAAGUUAAAGAAAGAGACAGUAAGAAGGAAAUUAUAAUAAUAAUAUGAAAUGUGAAGCUAAUUUAGUAAAGAAAAAUUGCUAGAAAAGUGCUAGAAAAAAAAAUUGUUUCCACUUACCUCGGUGCUCGGUGAAUUGAUUCCGUUUCUCUAUCUGAUUCACUGUCUUCAUUGUUUUCUUCUAGUUGGUAUCUCGUUGUUAUCCCUAAUAUAACUAAAGUAUCUAAAUCUAUACGACCCGAUGUGAAACAGCACUUCCUCUAAAUAUCGGGCCACGAAUUCGUCGUUAUUUGAGAAAUCUCGCUCCAUCUUGCGAAUUCUAAUGUAAACUAAUUUACCAAUAAGUAAAUAAAUAUUAUGUAUAACUCUACACUAUCAGUAAUAUUUAAUUAUCACUGCCACUACUAUAUCCGCUGUCUGUGUCCGUUUCACUACCUGAUUCACUGCCUCAUUGUUCCAUUCUAGUUGGAACUCGUUAUAUAUUAUAUUAUGCUUACUAUAAUUAUAACUAUAAC